rnacentral:lncRNA from 1 species
CUUACUACUGAGGGAGAGCCUUCCUGAGUACUCUACCUAGUGCCUUGUGAAUUAUGGAUUUUUCCAGUCUGUGUUGUGGGAGCAGUGGCAGCUUCAGCCACCCGGCAGCACCAGGCACUGUUUCCUCUAUUCUCUUUGGAUGGUUCUUUCCCUGGCCUUGUGUAGUUUCCUCACACACAUGCGACGAUCAGUCCUCUGCCUAAUGCUCCAGGGUGGCCCGCUGCACAUCUCUGGAGUUCUCUGCGAAGCGCUCUUCUUUCUGGUACUCUGUCCUGUGAGUUCUAGCCACUUUAGCCUCCUCAGACUCUCAGCUGUGUCUCAACUCGGUGUCUGCUCACUCCGCUUUAUUUCUCCCGUUUCUGCCAUGGCCCAGAAGAGCUCAAGGUAGUAAGCUGGGCUACUCAUAGUGUUCACCGUUGUUUGUCUCCGACUCUCAGGGAUCACUAUCCUUUGUUGUCUGAUAUCCAGUGUCUUGAAAACCAUCCUUUCAUGUAGUUUGCUUAUGGGUUUUUUUGUUUUGUUUUUGUUUUCUUGGUAUUUUCAGGUUGGAGGGUAUAUCUGGUCCCUAUUUAUUCAUCUUGGUCAUAGACUUAUUUUUUACAUGGUAGGCACUAAUUUUAAAGAAUUAUGGGUAUUGGUUAAGUUGAUUGAUCUAGUGACUAAAGGCGUUUUGUUUCACUGACCUUUGCCUUUCAGCCAUCUCCCCCCACCUGGGAAAGCCACAGUGGAAUGUAGUUGGACAGUGGCUUUGUGCACAUUCAUACUCCAAUAAUCACAUCCAAUGACUGUGAGGGGGCUGGAGAACUUUUUCGAGUUGAAGGGCACUGAGGAGAGAACUGACCUGAGAAGCUGGUGUGCUCCCCCCGAUAUUGGGUUUUUGCUGCCUCCACUUGAAGCGAGGAUCUUGUGAAUUAACAUAAUGGUAAAAAAAAAUUCCCUCAGAUUGUGACCUGAUGCAGCCUGCUGCUGCUUCCUAUUCAGAAGACUGAGCUGUUUCUUCCAACCUGUGAUAUCCGCUGAGUGGAGUACAUUCUUAAAAU